ensembl:snRNA U6 U6 spliceosomal RNA
GUGCUUGCUUCCACAGCGCAUAGUCUAAAAUUGGAAUGAUACGGAGAAGAUUAGCAUGGCCCCUGUGCAAGGAUAACACACAAAUUUGUGAAGCAUUCCAUAUUAAA